rnacentral:misc_RNA from 1 species
GGGAGAUCAAAAGUCAUGGUUGACAUUACUGUUUCCAUAGAAUCUUUGUACCAUUAAAAGAAAAAUGCUACUCCUUCCUUCCGUCCCAAAAAUUAGGCUUACUUUACUUGUCCUUUUCUUUUUGAAAUAUUUAUUUGUUAACUUACUAAUAUACCCAUAUUUAAUAUGCAUGGAAAAAGUAAAAUCUAUUAAUUUCAAAAAU